rnacentral:rRNA from 1 species
AGUGAACGCUGGCGGUAGGCCUAACACAUGCAAGUCGAACGGCAGCACAGUAAGAGCUUGCUCUUACGGGUGGCGAGUGGCGGACGGGUGAGGUAUACAUCGGACUCUACUUUUUCGUGGGGGAUAACGUAGGGAAACUUACGCUAAUACCGCAUACGACCUACGGUUGAAAGCAGGGGAUCUUCUGACCUUGCGCGAUUGAAUGAGCCGAUGUCGGAUUAGCUAGUUGGCGGGGUAAAGGCCCACCAAGGCGACGAUCCGUAGCUGGUCUGAGAGGAUGAUCAGCCACACUGGAAGUGAGACACGGUCCAGACUCCUACGGGAGGCAGCAGUGGGGAAUAUUGGACAAUGGGCGCAAGCCUGAUCCAGCCAUACCGCGUGGGUGAAGAAGGCCUUCGGGUUGUAAAGCCCUUUUGUUGGGAAAGAAAAGCAGCAGGUUAAUACCCCGCUGUUCUGACGGUACCCAAAGAAUAAGCACCGGCUAACUUCGUG